rnacentral:lncRNA from 1 species
CUGAUAAUGUCACAUUAAACACUUCAUCAAUGCUUCAGUAUCAAGUGAUACUAUUUUUCUUCUCACUAUAUCUGGUGGCAUUCGGACAAGGUGGGCACAAACCAUGCGUUCAAGCAUUUGGUGCUGAUCAAUUUGAUGCAGAACAUCCUGUGGAGUGCAAAGCCAAGAGUUCAGUCUUUAAUUGGUGGUACUUUAGUAUUGCUGCUGGUAUCUUACUGACGCUUUUGAUUUUAAACUACAUCCAGGAAAAUCUUAGUUGGGUUCUUGGAUUUGCAAUACCUGCUAUUGUGAUGGCUGUUGGACUGCUUGUUUUUCUGCUUGGAACAAUGACUUACAGGUUUAGUGUCGAAGGGGAUAAAGAAAGCCCAUUUGUGAGGAU